UCCCCAUCAACCACCCUAGCCGUCCCCUACUGAACCCGACGUCCCCACCACUCAAGAGUCGUCACGGGGACGUUUUUCCGGCGUUUCCGUCCCGUACCCGUACCGUCCCCGUCCCCGGUACUGGAAACGGCACUCCGGGGAAGUACCCGUGCUUCAUAGACUGUCACUACCAUCACCAUCUGAAAUGAAGAAGAUAUGGUAUUGGUGAACCCAAAUCCAAUUUGUGUGACAGCGGUGUAUAGAGAUUAGGCGUGGUGAGAAACAUUAGAAAGGCAGGAAUAAUGAAUUAAAGAAGGAAUUGAAUUGAUAGCUCCUCUAGGAGAGAGUGAUGAUGAAGAGAUAGGCUGGUGGGCAUGUGGAGAGAAAAAGGUGAAGUCAAGAGUAGAUGGUGUGAAUGGAGAAAGAGAAUCUUAAAAACUAAAUAAAAGAUUAAAAGAUGGAGCGCCUUCUUUGUUUGCAAUUAGAUGAAUCUAUGAGAGGGAAGAAAGUGUUUUUGCAGCCAUUUUUCAAGAAUUAGUAAUUCUUGAAGAAGUUGGAAAAAGGUUAUGAAGAACAAAUAUCAUAAUUUCAUCAUUAAUGAGGUUUAUGACCAUAAUGGAUCAGGUCUAUCAUCAGUUCUGGCAUUGCUGGGGUUUUCUUGUGUGCCAAAGUCCUUUUUUGUAUCAUUUCAAGCUUCAUGAAAUGGCCAA